rnacentral:rRNA from 1 species
UACGAAGGGGGCUAGCGUUGUUCGGAAUCACAGGGCGUAAAGCGCACGCAGGCGGGUCGCUAGGUCGGGGGUGAAAGCCCGGGGCUCAACCUCGGAAUUGCCUUCGAUACUGUCGGUCUCGAGUCCGGGAGAGGUGAGUGGAAUUCCUAGUGUAGAGGUGAAAUUCGUAGAUAUUAGGAAGAACACCAGUGGCGAAGGCGGCUCACUGGCCCGGUACUGACGCUCAGGCGCGAAUGCGUGGGGAGCAAACAGG